AGUCACUGACAUUAGAUACCCGCGUAGUCCAGGGUGUAAACGCUGCAGACUUGGUGUUGGGAACCCUUCGGGGGGUGCUCAGUGCCGGAGAGAAGUUGUUAAGUCUGCUACUUGGGGAGUACGUCCGCAAGGAUGAAACUUAAAGGAAUUGGCGGGGGAGCACCGCAACGGGAGGAGCGUGCGGUUUAAUUGGAUUCAACACCGUAAACUCACCAGGGAAGACUGUUACAUGAAGGCCGAGAUGAAGACUCUGCUAGAUUUUCAG
rnacentral:rRNA from 1 species